GACGAACGCUGGCGGCGUGCCUAAUACAUGCAAGUAGAACGCACAGUUUAUACCGUAGCUUGCUACACCAUAAACUGUGAGUUGCGAACGGGUGAGUAACGCGUAGGUAACCUGCCUGGUAGCGGGGGAUAACUAUUGGAAACGAUAGCUAAUACCGCAUAAUAUUAAUUAUUGCAUGAUAAUUGAUUGAAAGAUGCAAUUGCAUCACUACCAGAUGGACCUGCGUUGUAUUAGCUAGUAGGUGAGGUAACGGCUCACCUAGGCGACGAUACAUAGCCGACCUGAGAGGGUGGUCGGCCACACUGGGACGGAGACACGGCCCAGACGCCUACGGGAGGCAGCAGUAGGGAAGCGUCGGCAAUGGACGAAAGUCUGACCGAGCAACGCCGCGUGAGUGAAGAAGGGUUUCGGAUCGGAAAGCUCGGUUGUAAGAGAAGAACGGGUGUGAGAGUGGAAAGUUCACACUGUGACGGUAUCUUACCAGAAAGGGACGGCUAACUACGUG
rnacentral:rRNA from 1 species